UGGACAGAUUAUUGUAUUCGACUGUAUUCACGGCAUAAAAUUGGGGAUUACAUUGUUUUUAAAAAGGGAAGUGAAUCAAUUAACAUAAUAUACUCCU
rnacentral:pre_miRNA from 1 species